rnacentral:lncRNA from 1 species
GCACUAUUAGGCUUGUAACAAAUCACAUUGGGUCAGCCCACAACUUUGGCUCUUAUUUUCAUUUAGGAGGACGUUUGAACACGUCUCAAGAUAACAAGGACUCCAUACCAGAACCUUACCUUCAGCCCUCCCCCCACCCCUAUGGGGUCAUGCUCCAGAUUAUUCCAGAUGUUCCUCUGAUGUGAAGAUGAGGAGGGAGAGAUGAAGAGGAGGGACGUUCAAACGAGAGACAAAGAGAGAGAGACAUCACCACCAGAGAGACAAAGAGAGAGAGACAUCACCAUCAGAGAGACAGAGAGAGAGACAUCACCACCAGAGAGACAAAGAGAGAGAGACAUCACCAUCAGAGAGACAGAGAGAGAGACAUCACCACCAGAGAGACAAAGAGAGAGAGAGACAGCACCACCAGAGAGACAAAGAGAGAGAGAGACAUCACCAUCAGAGACAGAAAGAGAUACAUCACCAUCAGA